GAUAAAUCAAAUGCCUGAAGGACAUCUCCUCUCUGAUUCUGCAUAUCCCCUUAAGAAAUGGAUUUGGACACCAUUGAAGGAGAACCAGGUUGUUGGGCCUGCUGAAUUAAGCCCCCAGGUGACAUGGAUGAGCCUGAUGUCAUUAAUCAU